UACGUAGGGUGCAAGCGUUGUCCGGAAUUAUUGGGCGUAAAGAGCUCGUAGGCGGUCUGUCGCGUCGGCUGUGAAAACCUGAGGCUCAACCUCGGGCCUGCAGUCGAUACGGGCAGACUAGAGUUCGGUAGGGGAGACUGGAAUUCCUGGUGUAGCGGUGGAAUGCGCAGAUAUCAGGAGGAACACCAAUGGCGAAGGCAGCUCUCUGGUACAUGACUGACGCUGAGACGCGAAAGCGUGAGUAGCAAACAGG
rnacentral:rRNA from 1 species